rnacentral:rRNA from 1 species
CAGUCGCCGCGGUAAUACAGAGGGUGCAAGCGUUAAUCGGAAUUACUGGGCGUAAAGCGCGCGUAGGUGGUUUGUUAAGUUGGAUGUGAAAUCCCCGGGCUCAACCUGGGAACUGCAUUCAAAACUGACUGACUAGAGUAUGGUAGAGGGUGGUGGAAUUUCCUGUGUAGCGGUGAAAUGCGUAGAUAUAGGAAGGAACACCAGUGGCGAAGGCGACCACCUGGACUAAUACUGACACUGAGGUGCGAAAGCGUGGGGAGCAAACAGGAUUAGAUACCCCGGUAGUCCCUGUCUCUUAUAC